AUUACUGCAAGUGAUGUCGGAAGCGCACCAACAAAGACUGCUGUGAAAAAAGAUCAAGUAAUCCGCCAGCUGUCAUCACGGUUGAGUGAAAAAAGUUGUGUGAUAAACGAGUUAACUAACAGAGUCAAAGAAAGAGAACAACAAAUUAGGAAGAUAUCAGAUUGUGCAGCGGGUGCGUUUGUGGUUGUGAACCGAUGGUUUCCUGAGAUUAAAGACGGUUUAAAUAAAGCGCUGAUGCAGAAAGACGCGGAGCUUGAAUCAAGGUGAAAACAUGGGCGAAGCUAUUGAACACGUUUUGCACAAGCAGAAAGCUUGAGCUCGAACUGCUUUACAAAGUUCAAGUUCAGUGUUACAAAGAUACGAAGCUAAUGAAGUUGUUCCCUGAAGUUGUGAGGUCUCUUUAUGACCAAGACGUUCUUGCUGAAGACACGAUACUUCAUUGGGUCGCUAAAGGAACCAACCCGAAAGGAAGGCAAAGCUUUGUGAAGGCAUUGGAGCCGUUUGUGAAGUGGCUGGAAGAGGCAGAAGAGGAGGAAUAGAUAUUUGUCUAUCUUUUCUCUUUAAUUCUAGUUUUGUUUUGUUUGUUUUAGUAUUUAAAUUUCUAUAACUAGUACUUUUAUUUGGUUGUUUGUAAGAUUAAUGUUUAUUAGUUUAAUUAAGAAUCUUAAUUUGUUCACGUAUGUUUCCAUAAUGCUUUGGUAUUUGUUUGUACA